UGGCUCAGUGGUAGAGCGCUUGCUUUGCAUGCAUGAGGUCCUGGGUUCGAUUCCUCAG
rnacentral:tRNA from 1 species